rnacentral:lncRNA from 1 species
GUGGCCGCAUGGCGUGCUGUGGUGCAGGUGGCCGAAGGGGGCGUUACUGUUGCGACUGGCAUCCGCAUCCGGCAGAUGUAGAUGGAACCAAAGUCCAGAAGUUACGCGUCACCCUUGCUCUACAGCCAAACAUGCAGGACUCUAGUAACCCGCGAAAUGAUGGGAUAGCGUUGCAAAUCCUUAAAAGAGUCUUAACGAAAUCCUGGCUGACAUUGACUUCUCCACUGCAACCAUCGAGUUCAUUGUCUCCUAAACCUUGCCAUGGAGGCCUGUGGCACCUGAGCCAGCCAUUAUCAUCACCAGCACUUCCAUGAGCUACAAGCUGGACCCACUGCAGUCCUCCUGACACACUGAAAUCAGAGCCUGCACACAGAGCAGCAGAUGCUUCAAUGUAAAGGUCAUUUCCAGGUCCUUGACAGGCGUGCAUCUGGGCCAGAUCCAUGGCAAUAACCUUCAGGUUGAGGCUAGAGGGCUUCAGAUGGGCAGCUUCGAAUGACAGGAGCAAGGCACAAGAGGCCGGAAAGGGAGGGUGACAUUUUCAGCAUCUAUAAGAUCAACUUUAGAAACAUUUGGGGGUUGACAAAUUCCCAUCAAGCUCUGUGGAUCUUGUACAACUGCUCACCACCGGCUUCUCAUCAGCACAUGAUUGGUGCAGGGUUCUGAGGAUGAUUUUGAGAUGUUCCCUGAUGUGGUCUUGUGAGGAGAUUUCAUGACAGAUGGCAGGAAGCUUCGUGGAGAGAUUUCUGAAGACACUCCUGAGCUCCCAACACCGGGCAACUCUCUUCCAGAGGAUAGUGGGGUGGAGGGUAGAAGAGAGGCAAAGUCAGGAGAAGGGAAAAUGUUACAUUGUCAAAGUCCCAAAGCCUUUCAGCCUGAAGCCAGGAACAAUUGUUCAAAGUUUCUUUGGAACAUCAAGGAAGGAAAUCCAGAUUUUACUUUAAGUGCAAUGGGGAGUCAUUAAGGAUUUUGUGUAGAUACAGCAAAAAGACAACAAUCUUCAAGCCACAAUGGCCCUCACCAGAACCCAGCCAUGUGGUCAGCCUGAUCUCGGACUUCACAGCCAGCAGAACUGUUUGUCAAAGAUCAGAUGGUUUCCUUAAGCUGAUAAGCAACUUCAACAAAGUCUCAGGAUACAAAAUCAAUGUGCAAAAAUCAUAAGCAUUCUUAUACACCAAUAACAGACAAACAGCCAAAUCAUGAGUGAACUUCCAUUCAUAAUUGCACAAAGAGAAUCAAAUACCUAGGAAUCCAGCUUACAAGGGAUGUGAAGGACCUCUUCAAGGAGAACUACAAACCACUGCUCAAUGAAAUAAAAGGGGACACAAACAAAUGGAAGAACAUUCCAUGCUCAUGGUUAGGAAGAAUCAAUAUCGUGAAAAUGGCCAUACUGCCCAAGAUAAUUUAUAGAUUCAAUGCCAUCCCCAUCAAGCUACCAAUGACUUUCUUCACAGAAUUGGAAGAAACUACGUUAAAGUUCAUAUGGAACCAGAAAAGAGCCUGCACUGCCAAGACAACCCUAAGCAAAAAGAACAAAGCUGGAGGCAUCAUGCCACCUGACUUCAAACUAUACUACAAGGCUACAGUAACCAAAGCAGCAUGGUACUGGUACCAAAACAGAGAUAUAGACCAACGGAACAGAACAGAGGCCUCAGAAAUAACACCACGCAUCUACAGUCUAUGGUAUUUUACUAUGGAAGCCCACCCUAAGAUUUCAAUUUAGCUUCCAUGUAGUUCCCUGGUGCUUGGCAAUCUCCUGACUCACUACCUUGUCACAUGGUCUAUCCCAAGUCAGUCCUUCUCCUCUUCCCAUAUCCCCCUACUCCAAUAUUCACCCAUAUGUGGCCAAGUCUUCCUCCACCUGAGCUCCUUGCAGAGGAAUGAACAAUUGUUUGAACAUUAAUGAAUAUUAAAGUAAGUAAAGAAGAGACAAAUCUCCACUUGUUUUGAUAGUAGGGUGAUCUUUGGUGAGCUUAGGAAAAGUUUCAACCAAGUAGUCAUAGCAUGAUCCAAGUUAACAUGCAUUGAGCCAGGCGUGAUGGUUCAUGCCUGUAAUCCCAGCACUUUGGGAGGCUCAUGGGGGCAGAUCACUUGUGGUCAGGAGUUCACGACCAGCCUGGCCAACAUGGUGAAACCUCGUCUAUACUAAAAGUACAAAAAUUAGCCAGGCAUGGUGGUGCAUGCCUGUAAUCCCAGCUACUUGGGAGGCUGAGGCAGGAGAAUUGCUUGAACUUGGGAGGUGGAGGUUGAAGUGAGCCGAGAUCGUGCCACUGCACUUCAGCCUGGGCAACAGAGUGAGACUCUGUCUAAAAAAAAAAAAAAAAAAAUCAAGGCAAGUUAACAGGCAUUGAAGAUUAAAAGGGGAGUAAAGAAGGGGAGUUAUCUGGUGUUAACAACUCUAGAAAUUUUCUGUGAAGGUGAGUUUAGAAAUGGUAGGACACGAAGCUGAAAUUGAAUAUAUGGUUGAAAAGGAUUUUUUUGAAGACUUAGGAUAAGAAAGCACUGUUACAUGCCAGUGAGAAUUUGGUAAAAAGGGGGAGAUCUAUGGUGUAAGAGAGAGAAAGAGGGAAUAGUUGAAGAAAUUAUGUCCUCAAAGUGUAAGAGGGUAUGAUAGCUACAGCAUAAGUAGAGGGGUUCAGCUUUAAGAGGAGCAGGGACAAGUCUUCCAUCAUGAUAUGAAAAUAGAAAAAAAUGUAGUUUAAGAAGAUUUAAAAUUUAGUAGUGGGAAUUUGAGAUGCUCUCCUCUGAUGGA